rnacentral:rRNA from 1 species
CGGCAACAGCUCAAAUUUGAAAUCUGGCCUUUGGCCCGAGUUGUAAUUUGUAGAGGAUGCUUUUGGUGCGGUGCCUUCCGAGUUCCCUGGAACGGGACGCCUUAGAGGGUGAGAAUCCCGUAUGUGACUGGAUACCUAUGCUCAUGUGAAGCUCUUUCGAC